rnacentral:rRNA from 1 species
CCCUUAGAUGUUCUGGGCCGCACGCGCGCUACACUGAUGCAUUCAACGAGCCUAUCCUUGACCGACAGGUCCGGGUAAUCUUUGAAUCUGCAUCGUGACGGGGAUAGAUUAUUGCAAUUAUUAAUCUUCAACGAGGAAUGCCUAGUAGGCGCAAGUCAUCAGCUUGCGUCGAUUACGUCCCUGCCCUUUGUACACACCGCCCGUCGCUCCUACCGAUUGGGUGUGCUGGUGAAAUGUUCGGAUCGGCCGUUUGUCGCGGUUUCCGCGGCUCGUGGCUGAGAAGUUCAUUAAACCCUCCCACCUAGAGGAAGGAGAAGUCGUAACU